AAAUUAUCCUCAUAAGUUAGACGAAAAGAGGUACCAUUUGUGAAUUCUAUUACUAAGACUUUGUUUUAAUAAUUGAUAGAUAAAUGGUGGCACAGAAUCGGAGGCCCCGACUGUUUACUAAAAACACAACACAGUGCAAUCAUUAAUAUGGUAGUAUACUGUGUGAAAUUUGCCCAAUGCCAUUAAUAUAAAAGCGGUCAUAGGAAACUGUGACUAAUUGAAAAUCUGGUUAAUAGCGGUCUUAACCAUGAGGAUCCUAAGGUAGCAAAAUAAAUUGGCCAUUAAAUGUGGUCCGGUAUCAAUAAUGUAACGAUGGCCUCACUGUCUCUACAACUUGCUCAGUGAAAUUGAAUUACGCGUGCAGAUGCGCGUUACCUCCAGUGGGACGGGAAGACCCUAUGCAGCUUCU
rnacentral:rRNA from 4 species